CAUUAAGUCAGGCCUUGUUGCAGUUAGACACAUAAGACUCCCAACCAUUUGCUUGAGAGCAGUGUUAUCAGCUUUAGCUCCCUUCUCAUCCUUCAUCAACUUAAACCCUAGUAGGUAGGAACCGAGAAGAAGGUAUCAGCAACAACUGAUUUUAUUACGAGACAGCUCAUGAUAUUCAUAUCGAUCUAUUAUACGCCUCUGCAUCUAGCAUUGGGUAGAUCUCAUACAAUAACUGCCCUAGCUCUACCAUAUCUUUUGUUUCAUUUCUUCUGGAACAAUCACAAACAAUUAAUGUUAUUGGUAACUUGUAUAGUUAACACCACACUCUUUGGCUCUACCCAUUAAUUAUCCAGUAAUAGAUAUUUCACAAUGAGAUCCACCUAUACAGUAACGGUAUUUAAUUAGGAAAGUUAGUUCGGUAGCUGACCCUCUUAGUCCGUUCUUGACAGAGUGGGAGCUUCAUUUUUAUAUUUUUGAAAUUGAAAUAAGAUUUCUUAAACUUCUCAAAUAUCUCCACAUCAUUACCAGUAAAUAUAAGAUCGUCAAAAUACAAACUAACAAUAAGAAAUUUACCUUUCUUAUCAGACUUGAUAAACAGCGUAUGCUCAAAACUGCACUUUUCGAAGCCCUCCUUUACAAAAUAAGACUCGAUCUGGCUGUACCAAGCCCUUGGAGCCUGCUUAAGACCAUAGAGCGCCUUCCUUAGCUUGUAGACGUUGUCCUCCUCCCAUUUUCUUUCGUAACCUUGAGGUUGAUCCACAAAAACUUCCUCAAUCAAUUCACCGUGCAAGAAGGCACUCUUCACACUAGUUGGAAAAUAUUCCACCCCUUCUGAGCUGCAAGAGCAAUCACCAUUCUGAUAGUGUCCCAUCUUGCAACUGGAGCAAACACCCUUUAGACACGAGGCGAGCUUUGCACUUGUCCACAACUCCAUGCUCGUUAAGCUUUGUUUUAAACAACCAUUUCACACCAAUUUUCUUAGCUCCAACAAGUAGAGUGGUCAGCUCCCAAGUCUCAUUCCUUUCGAUAGCUUCAAUUUCCAAAUCCAUAGCUUUCUUCCACUUUGGACUUUUGACAGCCUCCUAGAAUGUAAUAGGGUUGGCAACAACAAACAUGACACCAUCUUAUUAUUCAGACAGACUUCAAUCUUCACCACUAACAUAGCCUUCCAACCAAGGAAUUUUCAUCAAAAGGUUCAUGUGAGCUUGGUGAAUUUUCAUCAAAAGGUUCAUGUGAUAAUGAGCUAGCUCCACUUUCUUCUUCCUCAAGCUCAUUGCCCUCACCUUCUUCGUUACUUUGCUCACUACCUUCAUCAUCAUCUCCCCAUCCUAAAAUGUCAAGCCUUACUCCUUCUGCACUUCUUUCCCAAUUCCAACACUCAUUUUCUUCAAAAUUUACAUCCCUGCUCACCACAAUACGUUUAGCAACAUGAUCAUAAAGCCUAUAGGCCUUUGAUUCCUCACUCCUUUCCAACAACACACACGGAAAACUCUUAUCAUCUAACUUCACCCUCUUGUUGUCGAAAAUGUGUACAUGUGCAACUCAUCCAAACACCCGAAAAUAGUCUAAUGUAGGCUUGAUACCGCUCCAAGCUUCUUCUGGAGUCGCAUCUUUUAAGGCCAAGGUUGGGCUUCGAUUUAACACAUGCACACUCCACUUCGCAGCUUCUGGCCAAAAUGUUUUAGGAACCUUCCUCUUAGACAACAUACUUCAAUCCAUAUUCAUUAUGGUUCGAUUCUUUCGCUCAACCAACCCGUUUUGCUGGGGUGUAUAGGCUGCCGUCAACUGCCUUCUAAUACCAUUAUUUUCACAAAAUUGAUUGAACUCAGAAGAUGUAAAUUCACCUCCACCGUGUGCAAACAUUUUGUGAAUUCACCAGUUUCCUUUUCAACAAAUUGCUUGAAAAUUUUAAAAGACACCAAAUGCUUUUGACUUUUCACACAAGAAAUAAAUCCAAAUUUUUCUGCUAAAGUCAUCAAUGAAGCAUAUCAAAUACCUCUUUUUGCUGCUUGACAUUGGUUUGAUCAGUCCACAAAUGUCAACG
rnacentral:lncRNA from 1 species